GAAAGCAGGGGAUCGUAAGACCUUGCGCUUUUGGAGUGGCCGAUGCCUGAUUAGCUAGUUGGUGGGGUAAGGGCCUACCAAGGCGACGAUCAGUAGUUGGUCUGAGAGGACGACCAGCCACACUGGGACUGAGACACGGCCCAGACUCCUACGGGAGGCAGCAGUGGGGAAUUUUGGACAAUGGGCGAAAGCCUGAUCCAGCAAUGCCGCGUGAGUGAAGAAGGCCUUCGGGUUGUAAAGCUCUUUCAGUCGAGAAGAAAAGGUUGUGACUAAUAAUCACAACUUAUGACGGUACCGACAGAAGAAGCACCGGCUAACUACGUGCCAGCAGCCGCGGUAAUACGUAGGGUGCGAGCGUUAAUCGGAAUUACUGGGCGUAAAGGGUGCGCAGGCGGCUUUGUAAGUCAG
rnacentral:rRNA from 1 species